UCAUACAAAAUGUACUUCGGUCAACGCUUUUACACCCCAAUGAAGUUACAAAAAGAAGCAUUCAAUUCUUAAAUAACUUGUUGGCAUUGUAAAUAUGCUAUUUUUUGUCAUUGUCUAUAAAAUUAUGAGACUAUGUACACCAUAUAUAAAUGUGGUAAAACCUGUUCAGAUUAAAACAUAUUAUUUUUUAAAACAACUCAUUCUAUUGUUAUUUUUUUUAACCAUAGUUAAAUUAUCUUAUUUCUUUUUUAUACGAGCGCAAAAAUGAAAAAAAAAAUGUCGUAAAUUGGUAUCACGUCGUUGUCUGUGUCGUUAUCAUCAGUAAAGUCCGAAAAUGAAUGAUUUCCGGAUAAUAACUUCAGUAUAAGUAAAUAGAAAUCAAAAACAUUUUAAGACAAGGUUUUUAACCACAAAGGAAGGUAGGGAUUGAUUUUGGGAUUUUGGUCCCAACUGUUUAGGAAUUAGGGGCCAAAAAGGGGCACAAAUAAGAAUUUUUCUUGGUUUUCGCACAAUAACUUCAGUAUAAGUAAAUAGAAAUCUAUGAAAUUUAAACACAUUGUUUAUGACCACAAAAGGAAGGUUGUUAUUGAUUUUGGGAGUUUUGGUUCACAAGAGUUUAGGAAUUAGGGGCCAAAAGGGUCCAAAACUUAGUUUGAUUUUAACAAAAAUUAAUUCUUGGUGUUCUUUGAUAUGCUGAAUCUAAACAUGUACUUAUAUUUUAGAUUAAUAUGGGCCCAGUUUUCAAGUUGAUCCAAUUCGGGGUCAAAAACCAAACUUUGUUUGAUUUCAACAAAAAUUGAAUAUUUGGGGUUCUUUGAUAUGCUGAAUCUAACCAUGUAUUUAGAUUUUUUUAUAUUUGGGCCCCUUUAUCAAUUUGGUCCACAUUGAGUUCUAAAGUGUCCAAAAUUGAACUUUAUUUGAUUUUAUCAAAAAUAAAAUUCUUGGUGUUUUUUGAUAUGCUGAAUCUAACCAUGUAUUUAGAUUUUGGAUAUUGGACCAUUAUAAAUGUCCAAUUUAAAUUUUUAAAGUUCUUAGACCACAUCCAUUCUGUGUCAAAAACCUAUUCUGUGUCAACUAUUUAAUCACAAUCCAAAUUCAGAGCUGUAUCAAGCUUGAAUGUUGUGUCCACACUUGCCCCAAAUGUUCAGGGUUCGACCUCUGUGGUCGUAUCAAGCUGCGUCCUGCGAAGCAUCUGGUGUCAUUUGAUUUGAUAAUCCAGGUAUUUUUUUCUUGAGAGCAGAAAACCCUGGUUGGUAAAUGUAUUUUGAAUCAAUAUGUAUAGCUGGAAUACUAUAUUAUUUUAUACAUGUAUUGGAGUUAAUAGAUAUAAUGUGUCUCGACAUUUAUAUAAUGUAGAGAUGAAUGAUAUUCUUUUGAUGAAAGGUAACCGAAUCUUGCUAAUUGCCACCUUAGUGUACCGUAUAUUAUACUUUUGAAGGUCGAAUUGCUUUACCAAACCCAACUGUUCAUAAAAACAACAUGGUCAUUUUGGUCAUUAAACUUUACUGAAUUACUGCACUUAUAAAUACCAAAAUAAAAGUGUAUUAACUAGAGGAAAAAAAGCUCACAAAUAUAUAAUGGAUGCACAUAAUUUUAUGAUCUCAUGAAAUAUAAGGCAAAAGAAUAAAAAAAAUAUUGAUUACAUGUAUUAAAAUUGAUUUCCUAUCAUGCAUUGAAGUUGAAGGUCAAGUUUUGGGAAUGUUUUUCAGUGUAUCACUUAUAACGCAGGAAUUGCCUCAUUUUUACACGUUCCAUCACUUUAUUCCAUGGCAUUUAAUUAUACCCCUGCUUUCAAAAAAGGGGGGUAUACUGUUUUACCUCUGUCUGUCAGUCCGUCCGUCCGUCAGUCCGUCCCAUGAAACUUUCGUCACAUUUUUCUCAGGAACUACAAUACAAGGAUUUCUGAAAUUUGGUUUCAGGGUUUAUCUAAGUCAGCUAUACCGUGUGAUGCGUUUUCAGAUUGAUCACUUGACAACUUCCUGUUUACCGAACACUUGUAUGAUUUUACACAUGAUAGCCAAGUUGAAAAUUUUCAUCACAUUUUUCUCAGGAACUACAAUACAAGGAUUUCUGAAAUUUGGUUUCGAGAUUUAUAUAAGUCAGCUAUACCGUGUGAUGCGUUUUCAGAUUCAUCACUUGACAACUUCCUGUUUACCGAACACUUGCAUAUUUUUACACUAUUAAUAUUAUCCACUUGCGGCGGGGGUAUCAUCAGUGAGCAGUAGCUCACAGUUUCACUUGUUCAAUGUUCAUUAGUGUCGUACAGAAAAUAAUUAAUACUAGUCAAAUGUAUAAUCCACCACAAAAACUGAACAAAAAUAUUUUGACAAUCAUAUAAUUCUUAGAAUUAUAAAAAUAAUCUUUUUAGUAAAAUAGUUGUUUAAAAAGAUAUUGAUAUAUUAUAAGCAGCAUUAUAAUAAACUCCAUAAAUUACUAUACUGUACAGUACUAUAUGUUAAUAAUUAGACCAAUAUAUAAGUGUAGAAAUAUUGUAUAUUUAUUUCCUAGAAAUGGUUGGAGGGAUUUAUAUAGUCAUAAACUUUAGUCAAGUUUUAGAGGGAACCUAUAUAGAAUGUCUUAAUGAUGUUCGGAGAGUACAUUUAUUAUAGGAUUAAAUGCCUUUUUAAAGGAAUUUAUUGGUGUAUAAACUCGACAAAUUCACUCAAAAACAAAUAACAGUCCGAAGGACUUUAAUGAUAUGUUUGUGAGUGACUUGGUCCAGUUUAUACACCAUUAAAUUCCUUUAAAAAGGCGUUUAAUCCUUAUAAUUCUUUAGAAAUAGAGAUAGGGAAAUAUUUUUCCACACUCCUUACCUCUAUCACACAUAAAUUGUAUAUUUAUGUCAUUGAAUAGGCCUGACGCAUGAAUAUUUGUUGGUUAACGCAAAAAUAUGUUCUCAAUGAGAUUUACUAUCUGAUAAACAGUAAACUGUAAAAUUCCUUAUUAUCAUUCAAACAAAUGUUUUAGUGUAAUAUUUAAUUUAAGGUUUAACGUGCAGUGAAAAUAAAUUUGGUGACGUCCGUGAUAUUAUUGUUUACAUUGGUCACUAAAAGAAGCUUGGUCAAUGUCCUUGAUCGAAAAAAAACAACGUCAAGAUCGACUACCGGAAGUUCUUUCGACCAAUCAUAUCAACGUAUUCCCUUAUAUGCAAAUCAUAUAAGAAUUAUUGUAUAGUAGAUAAGUAGGUAUAUGGCUGGUAUUUUUCAUAUUUCGUAUUUUGUAGAAAUGAAUUGAAAGGUAUAUAUCUUAAGCUACUUUGAAUAUGUUAACUAACUACACCUGUUUUUGUUUUAUCUAUAAUGCUUGUUUUACAUGAUAACCAGAUUCUUUUAAAGAAAUUAUUAACUGUAUAUUUUAUUAUUUUAAUAUUACUCAGCCAUACCAAAUGGUCAUAUCUAUCAGGAGUUCUGAAAAUAAAUAUAAUCAUUUUGUACUACUUUUUCAGCAAAUUUUUCAAUGAACUCAUUGUUAAAGGCUAUUUAGUGACCUGCAAUAAUUGUUAAGUUCUUCAUGGACAGUUGUCUCAUUGGCAAUCAUACCACAUUUCUCUUUAUUUUAUAUUGUUCUGACUGGCUGAAUUAAAAAUAAAAUGAUGAUAAAAAUAUGUUUAAUGCUGCAAACUCUAUGGUCUAAAGAACACCAAGUAGACUUUAAACAUUCCUAAACAUGAUUGAUCUGCCAGUUUGCUCCGGUGAAUAUUUUUUCACAUUAUAUAAAUGGAAACACAAAGAAAGAGGGACUCUCUACACUCAUCUGUAUUCAUGAGAUUUUGUUAUGUUUAUUACUUGUUCAGCUUAAUUUGUUGAAUGUUUUAUUGAUUGGUUGUUGUUUUCAUACUAUACUAGUAUAUGAGAAACUAUAUUUUAUUAUCUUACAACUUUGAUAAAUUGAAAUAAAAUUGUUUUUUUU
rnacentral:lncRNA from 1 species